rnacentral:rRNA from 1 species
CCUACGGGUGGCUGCAGUGGGGAAUAUUGCACAAUGGGGGAAACCCUGAUGCAGCGACGCCGCGUGAGUGAAGAAGUCCUUCUUGAUGUAAAGCUCUAUCAGCAGGGAAGAAAAUGACGGUACCUGAGUACGAACCCCCGGCUAACUACGUUCCAGCAGCCGCGGUAAUACGUCGGGGGCAAGCGUUAUCCGGAUUUACUGGGUGUAAAGGGAGCGUAGACGGGAGUGCAAGUUAGGUGUGAAAGGCGCGGGCUCAACCCCCGGACUGCAGUGGAAACUGUACGGCUGGAGUGCAGGAGAGGUAAGUGGAAUUCGUAGUGUAGCGGUGAAAUGCGUAGAUAUUAGGAAGAACACCAGUGGCGAAGGCGGCUUACUGGACUGUAACUGACGCUGAGGCUCGAAAGCGUGGGGAGCAAACAGGAUUAGAUACCCGUGUAGUC